CGGGGUGCACCAGGCGCGAAAACUUUACAAUGCGGGAAACCGUGAUAAGGGGACACCGAGUGCCAGCAUCAUAUGCUGGCCGUCCAGGUGUGUAAACUACACCUGUUAGCAAGGGCCGGACAAGACCGGUGCCAGCCGCCGCGGUAACACCGGCGGCCCGAGUGGUGAUCGUGAUUAUUGGGUCUAAAGGGUCCGUAGCCGGUUUGGUCAGUCCUCCGGGAAAUCUGACGGCUCAACCGUUAGGCUUUCGGGGGAUACUGCCAGGCUUGGAACCGGGAGAGGUAAGAGGUACUACCGGGGUAGGAGUGAAAUCUUGUAAUCCCUGUGGGACCACCUGUGGCGAAGGCGUCUUACCAGAACGGGUUCGACGGUGAGGGAUGAAAGUCUGGGGGCACUGAACACGGGAUUAGAUACCCGGGUAGUGCCCAGCCAUAAACGAUGCUCGCUAGGUGUCAGGCAUGGCGCGAGCCGUGUUUGGUGCCGCAGUGAAGCCGUGAACGCGAGCCACAUGGGAAGUACGGCCGCAAGGCUGAAACUUAAAGGAAUCGGCGGGGGAGCAC
rnacentral:rRNA from 1 species